UACGAGAGGCCCAAACGUUAUUCGGAUUUACUGGGCUUAAAGAGUUCGUAGGCGGCGCGGAAAGUAGGGUGUGAAAGCCCUCGGCUCAACCGAGGAAUUGCGCUCUAAACUGUCGCGCUCGAGGAACCUAGAGGUGAGCAGAACUGAUGGUGGAGCGGUGAAAUGCGUUGAUAUCAUCAGGAAUACCGGAGGCGAAGGCGGCUCACUGGGGGUUAUCUGACGCUGAGGAACGAAAGCCAGGGGAGCAAAC
rnacentral:rRNA from 1 species